GAGUUUGAUCAUGGCUCAGAUUGAACGCUGGCGGCAUGCCUUACACAUGCAAGUCGAACGGCAGCACGGGAGCUUGCUCCUGGUGGCGAGUGGCGAACGGGUGAGUAAUGCAUCGGAACGUAUCCUGGAGUGGGGGAUAACGUAGCGAAAGUUACGCUAAUACCGCAUAUUCUGUGAGCAGGAAAGCGGGGGACCUUCGGGCCUCGCGCUCUUGGAGCGGCCGAUGUCGGAUUAGCUAGUUGGUGAGGUAAAGGCUCACCAAGGCGACGAUCCGUAGCAGGUCUGAGAGGAUGAUCUGCCACACUGGAACUGAGACACGGUCCAGACUCCUACGGGAGGCAGCAGUGGGGAAUUUUGGACAAUGGGGGCAACCCUGAUCCAGCCAUGCCGCGUGAGUGAGGAAGGCCUCGGUUGGUAA
rnacentral:rRNA from 1 species